GAGGACAAGCAAAUCCCAUAAACCGUGGCUCAGUUCAGAUCGUAGGCUGCAACUCGCCUACGUGAAGGAGGAAUCGCUAGUAAUCGCAGGUCAGCAUACUGCGGUGAAUACGUUCCCGGGCCUUGUACACACCGCCCGUCACACCAUGGAAGUUGGCCACGCCCGAAGCCGUUACUCCAACCCUUGUGGAGGAGGACGUCGAAGGUGGGGCUGAUGACUGGGGUGAAGUCGUAACAAGGUAUCCGUACCGGAAGGUGCGGAUGGAUCACCUCCUAA
rnacentral:rRNA from 1 species